GACGAACGCUGGCGGCGUGCUUAACACAUGCAAGUCGAACGGCAGCACAGAGGAGCUUGCUCCUUGGGUGGCGAGUGGUGGACGGGUGAGGAAUACAUCGGAAUCUACUUUUUCGUGGGGGAUAACGUAGGGAAACUUACGCUAAUACCGCAUACGACCUACGGGUGAAAGCAGGGGAUCUUCGGACCUUGCGCGAUUGAAUGAGCCGAUGUCGGAUUAGCUAGUUGGCGGGGUAAAGGCCCACCAAGGCGACGAUCCGUAGCUGGUCUGAGAGGAUGAUCAGCCACACUGGAACUGAGACACGGUCCAGACUCCUACGGGAGGCAGCAGUGGGGAAUAUUGGACAAUGGGCGCAAGCCUGAUCCAGCCAUACCGCGUGGGUGAAGAAGGCCUUCGGGUUGUAAAGCCCUUUUGUUGGGAAAGAAAUCCAGCCGGCUAAUACCUGGUUGGGAUGACGGUACCCAAAGAAUAAGCACCGGCUAACUUCGUGCCAGCCGCCGCAGUAA
rnacentral:rRNA from 1 species